rnacentral:rRNA from 1 species
CUUUUAACCAAACAACUUGUCCUCCGAGUUUAUAAGGUAUACCUAGUCGACAGACCAGCAACGGGUGAUACCUUUUAGUAUUCUAGUCAUGUUGUAUUGUUAUAUCCACAAGAUCAUCUGCAUCCCAGCCGUUUUGAUGGAACGUCUAAAACUCACAAAACUCGUCAGAGACAACAACCAAGAUGAGGAGCGGAUAGUAAUCGGUACCUGAAAACUCCAACUAACCUCCGUAAUUCUCCGAGAUAUGUAAUUUUUACUUUCUCUUGGGUCUAAUGCCAUUUGUCCGAACGUGAUAUUCAUUAUAACUACGCACUAAUAUCAUUAUAACAAGGAAUGUGACAUGUUUACGGAUUACUAUAUGGACCACGUUAUAGACGUCACUGUAACCUUUAACAAACGCAAAGUACUGGUUCUCCUAUGUACGAGUUCUAAAAACCAAAAAUAACUACAGUUCGUCCUACCACGCCAAUCAUCUAACUCACAUAGAAUUUAA